AAUGACUCUCAAUGACGGAUAUCUGGUCUUG
rnacentral:rRNA from 1 species